rnacentral:rRNA from 1 species
UACAGAGACUGCAAGCGUUAUUCGGAUUCACUGGGCGUAAAGGGUGCGCAGGCGGUUGGGUGUGUCAGAUGUGAAAUCCCGAGGCUCAACCUCGGAACUGCGUCCGAAACUACUCGACUAGAGUACUGGAGAGGGUAACGGAAUUCACGGUGUAGCAGUGAAAUGCGUAGAUAUCGUGAGGAACACCAGAGGCGAAGGCGGUUACCUGGACAGUUACUGACGCUCAGGCACGAAAGCAUGGGGAGCAAAAGGG